rnacentral:rRNA from 1 species
CCUACGGGAGGCAGCAGUCGAGAAUCAUUCACAAUGGGGGAAACCCUGAUGGUGCGACGCCGCGUGGGGGAAUGAAGGUCUUCGGAUUGUAAGCCCCUGUCAUGUGGGAGCAAAUUAAAAAGAUAGUACCACAAGAGGAAGAGACGGCUAACUCUGUGCCAGCAGCCGCGGUAAUACCGAGGGCUCAAGCGUUGUUCGGAAUCACUGGGCGUAAAGCGUGCGGAGGCUGUUUCGUAAGUCGUGUGUGAAAGGCGCGGGCUCAACCCGCGGACGGCACAUGAUCCUGCGAGACUAGAGUAAUGGAGGGGGAACCGGAAUUCUCGGUGUAGCAGUGAAAUGCGUAGAGAUCGAGAGGAACACUCGUGGCGAAGGCGGGUUCCUGGAAAUUAACUGACGCUGAGGCACGAAGGCCAGGGGAGCGAACGGGAUUAGAUACCCUGGUAGUC